rnacentral:misc_RNA from 1 species
GAUGAAGAACGUAGCGAAAUGCGAUAAGUAGUGUGAAUUGCAGAAUUCAGUGAAUCAUCGAAUCUUUGAACGCACAUUGCGCCCCUUGGUAUUCCAUGGGGCAUGCCUGUUCGAGGGUCAUUUGUACCUUCAAGCUUUGCUUGGUGUUGGGUGUUUGUCUCGCCUUUGCGUGUAGACUCGCCUUAAAAUAAUUGGCAGCCGGCGUAUUGAUUUCGGAGCGCAGUACAUCUCGCGCUUUGCACUCAUAACGACAGCGUCCAAAAGUACAUUUUACACUCUUGACCUCGGAUCAGGUAGGGAUACCCGCUGAACUUAAGCAUAUCAAUAAGCGGAGGA